UUCCGGUUGAUCCUGCCGGACCCUACUGCUAUCGGGAUGGGACUUAGGCAUGCUAGUUCGCGUCUUUAAGCCACGGUGAAGACGCAGCGAACGGCUCAGUAACACGUGGCCAACCUACCCUUGGGACAGAGAUAACCCCGGGAAACUGGGGAUAAUAUCCGAUAGGUGAGAAGGCCUGGAACGGUUUCUCGCCCAAAGGAUGCUGGAACCAUGCUUUCGGCAUCGCCCAAGGAUGGGGCUGUGGCCGAUCAGGUAGUUGGUGAGGUAAUGGCUCACCAAGCCUAUAACCGGUUCGGGCCGUGAGAGCGGGAGCCCGGAGAUGGGCACUGAGACAAGGGCCCAGGCCCUACGGGGCGCAGCAGUCGCGAAAACUCCGCAAUACGCGGAAGCGUGACGGGGCCAUCCCGAGUGCCGUCCGCUGAGGAUGGCUUUUCCCCAGUGUAGAUAGCUGGGGGAAUAAGGAGAGGGCAAGUCUGGUGUCAGCCGCCGCGGUAAUACCAGCUCUCCGAGUGGUGGGGAUGUUUAUUGGGCUUAAAGCAUCCGUAGCUGGCUGGGCAAGUCCCCUGUUAAAUCUGACGAUUCAAUCGUUGGAUUGCGGGGGAUACUGCUCGGCUAGGGGGCGAGAGAGGCCGACGGUAUUCCCGGGGUAGGGGUGAAAUCCUAUAAUCCCGGGAGGACCACCAGUGGCGAAGGCUGUCGGCUAGAACGCGCCCGACGGUGAGGGAUGAAAGCUGGGGGAGCGAACCGGAUUAGAUACCCGGGUAGUCCCAGCUGUAAACGAUGCAGCUAGGUGUUCGGGCGGCCACGUGCCGCUCGAGUGCCGCAGGAAACUGUUAAGCCUGCCGCCUGGGGAGUACGGCCGCAAGGCUGAAACUUAAAGGAAUUGGCGGGGGAGCAC
rnacentral:rRNA from 1 species